UACGGGGGGGGUAAGCGUUGUUCGGAAUUACUGGGCGUAAAGGGCUCGUAGGCGGCCAACUAAGUCAGACGUGAAAUCCCUCGGCUUAACCGGGGAACUGCGUCUGAUACUGGUUGGCUUGAAUCCGGGAGAGGGAUGUGGAAUUCCAGGUGUAGCGGUGAAAUGCGUAGAUAUCUGGAGGAACACCGGUGGCGAAGGCGGCAUCCUGGACCGGUAUUGACGCUGAGGAGCGAAAGCCAGGGGAGCAAACGGG
rnacentral:rRNA from 1 species